CAAGCAAGUCAAGGACAAUCAACCAGCGAAGCCUCGCAAGCAAGUUAAGGACUCAACACACAAAGCCUACCAAGCAGGCCUAGGACCUUCAACCAGUGAAGCCUCACCAGAAAGCCAAGAGCCAUCAACCAGUAAUGCUUCAGCAGCGGGCAGUCAAAAUUGACCUUGCCAAAUGCACGUACAGUAAUUUGAGUGUCGUGCCAGGUUACAUUAUGUAAAUGGACAUUCUCAAGAUCUUCUUCAGUCAUGCAGACAAACUCCAACAGAGUAAGCUAAAAUUUAAGUUGUCACUAAAUUCUUUCAAUACUGUAAGUUCAAUACUGUAAUAGUGUGCGAGUGGAAAUACUAAUUAUGUUGGCUGUGGUACCCAAAAAUUUGUAAUGUUAAUUUUUGGACUUUCUGGGUAAAAAUGCCUGCUUAUCAGGAUGUUUGGUUUAUCUUAUCUUGUCUUUAUCAAGGUCCUAACAGAACCUGGAUAGUGAUAUGGACAACUUAAGACCUGAUAAUUAUCUAACAACGAUCGGAUACGAGUAAUACAGAUGAAGUGGACACGGUGUCCCCAGUGUGAGGAUUACACCGCUGCCGUGUCCUAAGUCAACACCACUCCCAGAGUGACCCAUAUCGCCAGCUGUUCCAUCUCCUGUUCCUUUACACCAUGAAUAUGUGCAAGACGACUUUUUCUGGGUUCAGUGACAUUGGUCUGGAUACCGGUAGCAUAUAUGAACUGAGUGGUAGCAGCUGUCAUUGUGUUAAUAGACAGAGGUUUGCAGCAUUGGGAGGUCGCCUUGCAAAAUGAUGGCAUGUGGGUCACCUACAACACACCUCAAAACAGACUGAGGCUCAGUGCAUGAGAAGAUGCAACAUAUGGUGAUAACUGAGAAGAGACGCCAUUGACUGAAGGUGUCCACAUCGUGUCCACAACC